UGCCUUGGGAGACAAACAAAAUGCAGUUUACUGCUCCCUCCCAUAGAAGAAACUGAGCUCAGAGAAGAAUAGUGGAUGUUGCUUUGCUAAGAGGGAGAAUAUGGAGAAAGCUGAGGUGCUCGGAGCAUCCAGACCAGCAACCCAGGGGCUCCAAAGCCUCCAAGAAAUGACCUGUCCUGGCGAGCGGAGGCUAGAAGAAAAACUCAUAAUUUGGAGUCAAGCAGAUUUGGAUUUGAAUCCUUACUCUGGCUAAGUCAAUUGAAUGUCUGAACCUCUGUUUCCUCAACUCUAAAGUGAAGAUAGUCAAAGUAUUGCCUAAGAAUGCUCUUGGUUGCAAGUAAUUGAAAACCCAGCCAAUAGUAGUUUAGGGAGUUUCUGUGACUCACAGAAAGUCUCAACACAGAAAGCUGCUCAUGUCAUUUCCUUGUCUUGAUGAUGUUGUGGCCAAUGUCUCUGUGAUUCUCUUGGCCUUUUCUUCAUGUUUGUGGCCUCAUGGAAUGUGUUGUUCCAUGGACAACAUCAUGGAAUUGUUCUCUCAGGGGUGCUGUGCCAGGAGUGUUU